rnacentral:rRNA from 1 species
UCAUCGUUAACUAGCCCGGCUCGCCUUGGCGGGUCGCCGGCUUCUUAGCGAGACUUUUGGCUUAAGCCAAAGGAAGUUGGAGGCAAUAACAGGUCUGUGAUGCCCUUAGAUGUUCUGGGCUGCACGCGCGCUACACUGACAGAGGCAACGAGUUUUUUUCCUUGGCCGGAAGGUCUGGGUAAUCUUGGUAAACUCUGUCGUGCUGGGGAUAGAGCAUUGCAAUUAUUGCUCUUCAACGAGGAAUGCCUAGUAAGCGCGUGUCAUCAGCAUGCGUUGAUUACGUCCCUGCCCUUUGUACACACCGCCCGUCGCU